GGCGAACGGGUGAGUAAUGCAUCGGAACGUAUCCCGUAGUGGGGGACAACGCCGGGAAACCGGCGCUAAUACCGCAUAUGCUCUACGGAGGAAAGUGGGGGACCCGCAAGGGCCUCACGCUAUGGGAGCGGCCGAUGUCCGAUUAGCUAGUUGGUGGGGUAACGGCUUACCAAGGCGACGAUCGGUAGCUGGUCUGAGAGGAUGAUCAGCCACACUGGGACUGAGACACGGCCCAGACUCCUACGGGAGGCAGCAGUGGGGAAUUUUGGACAAUGGGGGCAACCCUGAUCCAGCCAUGCCGCGUGCGGGAAGAAGGCCUUCGGGUUGUAAACCGCUUUUGGUCGGGACGAAAGGGCACCCUCGAAUACAGGGUGUUGUUGACGGUACCGGCAGAAUAAGCACCGGCUAACUACGUGCCAGCAGCCGCGGUAAUACGUAGGGUGCGAGCGUUAAUCGGAAUUACUGGGCGUAAAGCGUGCGCAGGCGGUUUGCCAAGUCCGCUGUGAAAGCCCCGGGCUCAACCUGGGAACGGCAGUGGAAACUGGCAGGCUGGAGUGUGGCAGA
rnacentral:rRNA from 1 species